CUUCGGGCCAGUGCUUCAAUCUUAUUAUAGCGUUGAAAAUGUUGGUUAAGAGGACCACUCCUUUUCUGGAUAAUUCUUUUAUCAUUCUUGGAGUUAUACCGUCAGAUCCAGAAGCUUUUUUAGUAUUUAGCAGGUUGAUUUCCGCAUAUACCUCUUUUGAUGUUAAGAAAAUUCUUAACAUCAAACAUAAAAUAUGUUUGGUAUAUCUUGUGGUGUGUUGGAAAUGCUCUCCUCUAUGUUGUCAUCUACCAUUUGAUUGUUUGGAGUGAAUACAUCGGUUAUGUACUCUGCAAAUAAGUUUGCCUUUUCCUGUUCGCUUCUGGCCCAUUCAGCAUUGGGUAAUACUGAGUUUUUGAUUGGUGGGAUUUGUUCUUUCGGUUUACUCUUCGAUUUUAUAGGCCUCCAUAUAGAAUAAUCAGAUCUCUUCAAACCAGUUAUGUAUUGUUCAAAUGAUUUGUCUUGUGGUUCUCUAAGUCUACUCUUGCGCCUAUUGCUAUGAUUCGUCGUAGUUUGUAUUGAAAAAUUUCAAUAACUAACUUAUUAUACUUCUAUAAUUGGAUUUUAAAUAAAAUUAUGGGAAUGGAAUGCAGAUAACAAAUGAAUAGGCGGUGUGUAUAUUUUUGGAAUGAGAUAUCUGGUGGUGACUUUGGACAAUAUCAUUAGUAAGACUUUGGGGACAGAUAAUUUUUUUCGUGUAAUUAUGAAAAGCGAUGGACAUUCAAGCUAGGGAUAUGAAGAAAAAGGCCAAGCUUUUAAAAAAGCUGACCAUGUUCACAAUAUAUGAAGCGGACUGGUUUCAUUACUUCUAAAUAAAUGAGACAGACUUCAGUGAAUUUUCCACCUUAUUAUAUCGAAAUUAUGUAAGUAAGUUGGAUGAAGCAGAAGAAAUUUACUCCUUCAAGGGUAUCUACUGGGACUGUGGGACAUCAGCAAGUCCCAGAAGUAUUUUAUAAAUGUCCUGUUCUUCAAUAUAAAUAUACCCAGCAUGGAAUUAAUUGGGAAUAUAAAGCCAGAUCAGUGUAUUCAAGUUUCAGAGAAAAAAAUACCAUAUUCAGGAAAAGGACUUGAAGUUUGUCAGUCGGACCCGAGGCUUGUUGCUUUUCUGAAUGGUGUUAUUUUCAAGAAUGGGGAGUCCGUGAAAUUAUUGGAAAUCAAAUGUCUAUUCAUUGGUCAAAUUAUUUCUGCUGAAAAUACUGAGCACCAUUGCAAAUAUUUGAGAAGAGGAAAAGCCAGUUAAUUUGAAAGAAUGAAUAAAAAUUAUGCUAGAGUCUGAUUAAGUAUGGCAAUUAUGAAUUUGAAAAAUUGCGACUCUAUAUAGUGUUCUCAUCUGGUGAUAAGACGUUCAAAACUGUUAGUGAGCCAUUUGAUGAAGAAUUCACAAAAAAAUAAUUGUUAAAACUUGAAAUGAUUUAUUUUAAAAAUAUGCUUUACACAUUGUGAUAGCAUGAAAGUUUAAAUUUUUUAAUUAGAAAUAUAUUUUUCCAAGCCUUAAUUGUGCUGUAAUAAGCCCAUCCAGAAUAAGAAAAGUUCCGAAUCAUACAUAUCUGAAGUUAUACAUGUUAUAACUUUCAGAUUAUUGAAAAAUUUGAGUGCUGUUGUUAUUAGUGAGAGAGUAAAGGAUUUGCUAUUGGAUCAUACAAUAU